UCUGAACCUUCGGGGGACGAUAACGGCGUCGAGCGGCGGACGGGUGAGUAAUGCCUAGGAAAUUGCCCUGAUGUGGGGGAUAACCAUUGGAAACGAUGGCUAAUACCGCAUGAUGCCUACGGGCCAAAGAGGGGGACCUUCGGGCCUCUCGCGUCAGGAUAUGCCUAGGUGGGAUUAGCUAGUUGGUGAGGUAAGGGCUCACCAAGGCGACGAUCCCUAGCUGGUCUGAGAGGAUGAUCAGCCACACUGGAACUGAGACACGGUCCAGACUCCUACGGGAGGCAGCAGUGGGGAAUAUUGCACAAUGGGCGCAAGCCUGAUGCAGCCAUGCCGCGUGUGUGAAGAAGGCCUUCGGGUUGUAAAGCACUUUCAGUCGUGAGGAAGGUGGUAGUGUUAAUAGCACUAUCAUUUGACGUUAGCGACAGAAGAAGCACCGGCUAACUCCGUGCCAGCAGCCGCGGUAAUACGGAGGGUGCGAGCGUUAAUCGGAAUUACUGGGCGUAAAGCGCAUGCAGGUGGUUUGUUAAGUCAGAUGUGAAAGCCCGGGGCUCAACCUCGGAAUAGCAUUUGAAACUGGCAGACUAGAGUACUGUAGAGGGGGGUAGAAUUUCAGGUGUAGCGGUGAAAUGCGUAGAGAUCUGAAGGAAUACCGGUGGCGAAG
rnacentral:rRNA from 1 species